rnacentral:lncRNA from 1 species
CUCAUAAAAGUGGAUGAAUUAAAAAAGCAACUCAGUGAUAAGGAGAAAUCAAUACAAUCAAUGAAAAGUCAAAUAAUCAAACAAGAAAAGAAAAUAAAAAAGCAAAAAUCAAUGUCAGUAAUGGAGAGUAGUGGUAAGGAUGAUUUGUUUCAAGAAAUUAAGCGACAACACCAACAGGAUUUAUUGGCCCUGGAAACAAAAGUGGAAUGUCUUCAAAAGCAACUUGUUGAAAAAGCACUUUCUAACAAAAAGUAUGAGUUUGCUUGUAGUAAAGAGA